UACGUAGGUGGCAAGCGUUGUCCGGAUUUAUUGGGCGUAAAGCGCUCGCAGGCGGUCUUUUAAGUCUGAUGUGAAAUCUUGCGGCUUAACCGUAAGCGGUCAUUGGAAACUGGAGGACUUGAGUGCAGAAGAGGAGAGUGGAAUUCCAUGUGUAGCGGUGAAAUGCGUAGAGAUAUGGAGGAACACCAGUGGCGAAGGCGACUCUCUGGUCUGUAACUGACGCUGGGGUGCGAAAGCAUGGGGAGCGAACAGG
rnacentral:rRNA from 1 species